rnacentral:rRNA from 1 species
AUUGAACGCUGGCGGCAGGCCUAACACAUGCAAGUCGAACGAGUGGCGGACGGGUGAGUAAUUUCUGGGAAACUGCCUGAUGGAGGGGGAUAACUACUGGAAACGGUAGCUAAUACCGCAUACCAUCAGAUGUGCCCAGAUGGGAUUAGCUAGUAGGUGGGGUAACGGCUCACCUAGGCGACGAUCCCUAGCGGGUCUGAGAGGAUGACCGGCCACACUGGAACUGAGACACGGUCCAGACUCCUACGGGAGGCAGCAGUAGGGAAUAUUGCACAAUGGGCGCAAGCCUGAUGCAGCCAUGCCGCGUGUGUGAAGAAGGCCUUCGGGUUGUAAAGUACUUUCAGCGGGGAAGCGUUACCCGCAGAAAAAGCACCGGCUAACUCCGUGCCAGCAGCCGCGGUAAUAC